CAUCUAUUCGUGUGAAAUUAUUUCUAAGUUAUUUAACAUAAUAUUUACAUACUCAAAAGUCAGAAGUCGUUUUAUACUACUUAUAUACAUUCAUUACCUAUUGAAAUAUGAAAGUUUUAAAUGUCUCGUUUUUGUUUUAGCUGUAAGAUAAUAUAGAUUGGAUUGUCCAUCAAAACAUUCCAACAAAUGAUGGGCCAUUGUGUAAUAUAUUUAGUAUAACAUAAACAUUUCAAUUUUUUUUACUAAUUCAUUUACAAAUUAUUGUAGUUUAAUAACAAUAUCACCUAAUUAUGAACGAUUAAAAAGAUAUCAGAACUGUGCGUAGAGUUGACCUGGGUUCCUGGGAUCAAGAUAAUGAUCCAUUCAUUGCCAAACUUUACAGUAGAUGAAACUAUUUCGUUUACUUUGAUUGGAAAAAUGUAAAAUUAUACCUAAAUUUAUUUUUAUUUUUAUUAUUAUGGGUUAUAUUUACACCCAAAAUAUUCAAAUUCUAAAAUAUAUUUUUGUAUUACAAAUUAGGAUUUAUGGAAAUAAAAUAGAAGCUAAACUGUUCAGCUUGAAUACAUUUCAAUGUAAUAUUAUAAUGAAAUAUAUAUUAGGUAUUAUUUUAAUAAAAAUCAUUUAGGGCAGGAGAUAAAGGUAGUCAACAGGCGUCCACGUAUUUAAAAAACCAAAACAAAAUUGUAAAAAAUGUAAAAAAUGUAAAAUAAAUAAAGUCAAAAUAAAUGCAUUGUGAAAACAUCAAUCAUUUAAAAAUUAAACCUGUAGAUAACUCAAACAUUCUAUGUUCCGAAUAUAUACAGAUAAUGACAGAUAGUUAAAUAAUUUAACCUAAUAAUUGUUUGAUAAUAUAAUUUUGAAAUAAUAAUACACACUGAAAUUAUAUGUCCAUAAAAUAAUUAUAAACUAAUUAUAACCCAUUAGUGGUUGUGUCGGCACAACUUUACUGACAUUAAGCUUUCACUGUACACCUUAAUCCAGAUCUGGUAUUCAGAUAAUUGUUUUAACAAAAGAGAAAAAAACCCUUAUAAAAUAGAACUAACUUUAUUUACCAAUAGUGUAACUUGUUUAUAAUAUUAUAUAUCAUUUGUAAAAUGACCACUAGGAGACAGUUAUACAAAAUUUUUGUAUUUUCUAGAAAUAACACAGCGAUCAACAGGAUAUUGAUAGGAGCUACACAAAGGGACCAACAAUAUUGGAAUAUUACAACUAUUUAUAAGGUCGCUUGAAACAAGUGGUUUUCAGACCAUCCAAUUAUGAUUACCGAAAUUCAUCUACAAGUCAUUCUGAUUCUUGUAAUUAUAAAUUAUUUAAAUAUGUCAUUUUUGUGUGUAAAGAAACUAAAAUACACUUGAUAUUACAGUUAAGUCUUUUUGACAUUCAUGACUAUUAGUAGUUACUGUCUAUAAUUUGGUGGCAUGAACUAGCUGUCAUAGAAUGAUAAUAAAUUGUUUAAAAAAAUUGAAACUGCUCAACCAAAAGUAGGUACUGGUAUUUUUUAAUAUUUGUAAUUAUUCUUAUUAGGCAAGGCUGGGCAAGAUAAUGAUUUUUUUUAACUCAUUAAGUUAAGUUAUUUUAAAAUAAUAAAGUUAAGUUAAAUUAAAAGUUACUCAUAUUUUUUUCAGUAACUCGUUAAUAAUUUGGUAUGUACUGGCUCCAUUUUUGUAUAUAGGAGGAGGGGAAAUUAUUUUAUAAGGAUGAUACAGGCACAAAAAAUCAUUCCCUCAAGUUGAUUUCAGGAAAAGCGUAAAAUUUCUGGUCGAAGGUUUACAGGCAGAAAAAUUACUAAUCUAAAGUCAUAAUGUUAACUUUCUUAAGAUUUCACUAGUUUUGUUACACAUGAAAUAACUGCUUCAACACAAUAACUCUUCCAUAAUUUUUUUUAAAAGUGAUUAUCCAUUAAACAUUUUUAGUUACUUGACUUAUAUACUAAACUAUAAUAAUGAAAAAAUCUGAAAAUGCAUAAUUUAAUGGGAUCUAUUAGCAAAGAAUGCUAAAGGGCUUAUGUGGGGAAAGGUCCAUAUUCUCAGUAUCCUGGUAGGUCAAUUUGAUCCUGGUAAUCAUAAUUUUGAACUUUAUUUUUUUUAAAUUACUAUAGCUAACAGAAUAUAUUUCACUGGAUUGUAAAUCAUCAUGGUGCAACAGAAUCUGUUCUAAAGUAGAAACAUCAUUGAUAUUGGUCAAAGCUGUGUAAUAAUGUAUCAAUCCUAACAUCAUGGAUAUUGGUUAUUAUGACAAAGAAACUCACAAUUAUUAACAUUUAUCAUAACACAAUAUUUUAGUUAUUAUAUAUAGGUAAAUAUAUUUUUAUAAGAAAUUCUUUUCUGAAUUGGAAAAAAUAAUAUAUUUAACAUAGGCAAUUUUAUUGGUGGCAUUUAUUGAAUAAAUUCCUCUGAAGCAAAAAGUGGGUAGAACCGGAUUAUAUACAGUUUACCAUUUUAAAAAUACAAUUAGGUAUGUUGGUUGUACAACAAUAGAAAUCUGUAAAAUUUAUAAUUAUACAAUUUUCAAAAGUAUUUAAAAAAUAUUUUGAAUUUAAAAAAAAACCAAAUAAAUCAAAAAUGACCAUUCAAAUUAUUUGUACAUACUAUUUAACUAAUGAAUUUAAAGCAAAUUUUUUUUGUACAUUAAUAAUUUGUACACAACAAUUAAAUUUAUAAUAUAGUUAGCUUAGUAAAUACACCAUACAAAUAUUUAAAUUUAUUAUUUAACUUUUACUUACAAUAAUAAUGACUAUACAAAUAUAGAGCAAAAUAACACAACAAAUUUGAAAUAAAUGUUUUAUUAGUAAAUAAGGUCAAUUUUAGAUAAAUAGAUCAUAUUUUUGUAAAUUUUAUAUUUAUCAAAAACAUCUUAAUAGAAGAUUGAAUUUGAUUUAAAUGUUAUAUAGUCUAUGUUAUAGCCUUAUUAUAUUUAUUGUUACCUUUUCAAAUUGAUCAUGUUUUUGCCAUUUGUUAUAGUACUUGGAUUUCCUUUAAUACCUAUUUAAUUUACCGAUCUUUUUAUUGGCAUACAAUAUAAUAUUUGUUUGAAUUAAUUAAUGCAGCUUUAUUUAUUUUGGUAUAAUUAUUUUGAUUGUAGUAUCCUUACUAUAAAUGACAUAUUUUAUUAUACAUAUUGUUCUCACUAUUUACAACUGAAUAGUUGUUGGUCAACUACUAAAAUAUCCCACAUGGAAUUUUUAUUAUAUGAUAAUAAUUUUAUAUCUGUUCCAAUUUUUCGAAUAUUUAGUAAAAUUUGUAUAUGAUUUAGCAAGUAAAGAAAUAAGAUUUACUGCCAUUAAGCAGCUUAUUCAUUAUGCAAUACUAUUUCACCCCAAAAAGUGAAAAAAAAAAACAGGUUUAUAAAACAAAUAUAUUUAAAUGCCUUAUUUCAUUCGUAUUUAUGUAGAAAUAAGGCGUCAAAGUGAUAUCAUAAACAUAAAUAGUUAAUGAAUCACACAUGUAAUUUUUGACAAAAUUGAACAAAAAGUAAUCUAAAUUUGAAAUAAAAAUAUUAAUUUUUAAAUCAUUUAGCCAAUUUUUGCAAAGAAAGGUACUGAAUUAUCUACAUGAUAUUGAAUUUUAACUUGAGUUUAUCAAUUUUUUUCAAAAAGACAGCCACAUUUAAUGUCCAAGCAUAUCAUUUGGCAGUAAAUUGCAAUUGAGAUGCCAUGUUUAUAAAUUAGUUUGCCAUUGAUUAGUUCUAUCAAAACAUAAGCCAGUUUGUAUUAAAAGUAAAUAUUUUACUAUAUAGGUAUAUGCUAGCAUGAAAACUAAAAUAUCAUAUAUAAUAAAACAAAAAAUAAAUCGCUUUUGAUUAAUACUUAAUACAAUAUACAGCAUAAUUUUUAAAAAAAAACAAAUAACUCAGAUAGCAAAGUCAUAGUAUAAUAUAAUAUAUUUUUAUGUGAACACUUUCUACCAGGAAGCUUACUCUGAUUAUCAAGUAUAGCAUCUUGUCUGAAAGGAAAUAUUCUCUGAGUAGUACUUUGGAGAAGUAAUUUUUUGAAAUUUUAAUUAAUAUUUGAGAUAAUGAGGAAAACCUGUUUUUUUUAGGUUAAACAAGAUUGAAAGAUAAAAAAUAAGGUUGUCAUUGGCAACAGAUUUUAUUUGUUUUUUGUUAUUAUUAAGUUUUUUAUUAUUUUAAAUAAUCAUUCAGUGUCAUGGAAUCGCACCUUGUUGUAAUUAUUUAACUCCCUAACUAACUGUUAUGCUUUUAUAUUAUAUUUAAAUUCUAUUUUUUGUUAUUGUUAUUAUUUUUAUAAUUUUCUCAUUAUGUUUAAAAAAAUAAAACAAGUAAGUAGUUAAUAUAUGGUAGGAUUUCUAAUAUAUUUCAUCAAUUUGUUUUAAAUUUUAACUAAUAUUGAAAUUUAAUUUUGAAGUGUAUGAAAAUUAAAAAAUAUAAAACAUGAAAAAGUCAGGAAUUUGUCAACUUGAAAAUUGUGGCAACCAUGUUAUUGCACAAAAUAUUGUUUAUUGGACAGGUUUAUAUUGAUGAAACUAGGUUAAAAGACACUAAAUUAUCAUUUAGUAUUUAAUUUAUUAGAGAUUACCUAUAUAUACUUUGUAUUUAUCUAGUAAUACUAUAUUAACUGAUCUACAGAUUUCAAGGAAUUGUCUCUAACUUCGAUCUACUGAUGCACCCUGAUUUGUCUCAAAUCAGUUCCUAAAUUCGGACCUCAAAUUGCCUUCUGUCAAUGUAGCUGCAGCUUUUUACUACAAUCACUUUUAUGCCAAACUGCAUAACAAAAUAAUCUCAACCUAUGAACUUAUCAAUGAGUUAGCAUCACUACCCGGCAAUCCAACCAGACACCCCAAAAGGAAUUGGUACCCUGAUUUAUUAAAUUAAGGUUUAAGUAACUAUAAACUUUUAGAAGUAUCACAAUGUGUGGUUUCCUCCUCAUGUGUAUAUAAAUAUAUUAUUUCAAUUGUCU
rnacentral:lncRNA from 1 species